GAUGAACGCUAGCGGCAGGCUUAAUACAUGCAAGUCAAGGGGGUAGCAAUACAACCGGCGCACGGGUGAGUAACGCGUACACAACAUGCCAUAUACUGGGGUAUAGCUUUGGGAAACUGAAGGUAAUCCCCCAUAACAUUGCGAGAGGGCAUCUGAUUGCAAUUAAAGUUUCGGCGGUAUAUGAUUGGUGUGCGUUUGAUUAGCUAGUUGGUAGGGUAACGGCCUACCAAGGCGACGAUCAAUAGCUGGCGUGAGAGCGCGACCAGCCACACUGGAACUGAGACACGGUCCAGACUCCUACGGGAGGCAGCAGUAGGGAAUAUUGGACAAUGGAGGAAACUCUGAUCCAGCCAUGCCGCGUGAUAGAUGAAGGCCCUCUGGGUUGUAAAUAUCUUUUAUCUGGGAAGAAACUCCUCUAUUCUUAGAGGCCUGACGGUACCAGAGGAAUAAGCACCGGCUAACUCCGUGCCAGCAGCCGCGGUAAU
rnacentral:rRNA from 1 species